UGCGUAGGGUGCGAGCGUUGUCCGGAAUUAUUGGGCGUAAAGGGCUCGUAGGCGGUCUGUUGCGUCGGUAGUGAAAACUCAGGGCUUAACCCUGAGCCUGCUUCCGAUACGGGCAGACUAGAGGUAUGCAGGGGAGAACGGAAUUCCUGGUGUAGCGGUGAAAUGCGCAGAUAUCAGGAGGAACACCGGUGGCGAAGGCGGUUCUCUGGGCAUUACCUGACGCUGAGAAGCGAAAGCAUGGGGAGCGAACAGG
rnacentral:rRNA from 1 species